GUGUUCGAUUAAAGGAGAGAUGGUUGGCAUCUCCCCUGACAGGGUCGGGAACAGCCUUCGGGCUUCCCUGUUAAAACACAUCCGGUUAAGGCUACCCACCUCUCGCAGGUGGAUCUAUAACCCAAUUUUUUU